GUGUUGUUAAUUUCUCAGUUUGUGCACAAUGACAAUUUAUUUUACUUACUUUUCUUAUGAUACCAAUGAUUGUGUUUUGAAGGAUGCUUUCGAAGAAUUUGGUUACCGAAAUACUUGUGCAAUCUUCCCCGAGACCAAAAUGACACUAAACAGAUUCUCGUGUAUAGCAUUAGCUAGUGGCAACAAAGUUUCUCUAUGGUACUGCAGAAGGAGGCCUUUCGGAUAUCAACACGUUGCUGGAUGGCAGAAAAUAUAGGCAUUUUUUAUGGCCAAGAAGAGCGAAAGCAAUUAAGUCAGGGAGGACUUGCCAUGAUUCAGUUGUUGGAAUGGUUUGAUAUAUGUUACGCCAUUUCAAUAUCUUUUCAUAAAUAUAUGAUGAGUUAAUUUUAUCCAGUCUUGCUAUUUGAUUUCAAAAUUUUUAUGCCGACUGCUACUUUAUCACUGAAAACUAUAUGAUGAACUUUACAGAUUAGGGGAUUAAGAUCAAAGAUUGGCAGCAAUAAAUG